GACGAACGCUGGCGGCGCGCUUAACACAUGCAAGUCGAGCGGUAAGGCCCUUUCGGGGGUACACGAGCGGCGAACGGGUGAGUAACACGUGGGUGACCUGCCCUCAGCUCUGGGAUAAGCCUGGGAAACCGGGUCUAAUACUGGAUAUGACUCCAUGACGCAUGUUGUGGGGUGGAAAGCCUUGUGCGGCUGAGGAUGGGCCCGCGGCCUAUCAGCUUGUUGGUGGGGUGAGGGCCUACCAAGGCGACGACGGGUAGCCGGCCUGAGAGGGCGACCGGCCACACUGGGACUGAGACACGGCCCAGACUCCUACGGGAGGCAGCAGUGGGGAAUCUUGCGCAAUGGGCGAAAGCCUGACGCAGCGACGCCGCGUGAGGGAUGACGG
rnacentral:rRNA from 1 species